rnacentral:rRNA from 1 species
GACGAACGCUGGCGGCGCGCCUAACACAUGCAAGUCGAACGGAGCGUACUGUGUGAAGCCCUUCGGGGUAGAACUUUGUAUUGCUUAGUGGCGAACGGGUGAGUAACACGUGAGCAACCCACCCUAGAGUGGGGGACAACAUCUGGAAACGGAUGCUAAUACCGCAUAAGACCACGAGGUCACAUGACCUUGAGGCCAAAGGAUUUAUUCGCUUUAGGAUGGGCUCGCGCCUGAUUAGCUAGUUGGUAAGGUAACGGCUUACCAAGGCAACGAUCAGUAGCCGGACUGAGAGGUCGAUCGGCCACAUUGGGACUGAGACACGGCCCAGACUCCUACGGGAGGCAGCAGUAGGGAAUCUUCGGCAAUGGACGAAAGUCUGACCGAGCAACGCCGCGUGAGUGAAGAAGGUUUUCGGAUCGUAAAACUCUGUUGUUAGAGAAGAACAAGUAGGAGAGUAACUGCUCUUACCUUGACGGUAUCUAACCAGAAAGCCACGGCUAACUACGUGCCAGCAGCCGCCGUAAAAC